AUUGAACGCUGGCGGAAUGCUUUACACAUGCAAGUCGAACGGCAGCACGGACUUCGGUCUGGUGGCGAGUGGCGAACGGGUGAGUAAUGUAUCGGAACGUGCCCAGUCGUGGGGGAUAACGUAGUGAAAAUUACGCUAAUACCGCAUACGAUCUAUGGAUGAAAGCGGGGGAUCGCAAGACCUCGCGCGAAUGGAGCGGCCGAUAUCAGAUGAGGUAGUUGGGGGGGUAAAGGCCCACCAAGCCAACGAUCUGUAGCUGGUCUGAGAGGACGACCAGCCACACUGGAACUGAGACACGGUCCAGACUCCUACGGGAGGCAGCAGUGGGGAAUUUUGGACAAUGGGCGAAAGCCUGAUCCAGCCAUUCCGCGUGCAGGAUGAAGGCCCUCGGGUUGUAAACUGCUUUUGUACAGAACGAAAAGGUUUCUACUAAUACUAGGAGCUCAUGACGGUACUGUAAGAAUAAGCACCGGCUAACUACGUGCCAGCAGCCGCCGUAA
rnacentral:rRNA from 1 species